CCCUUUUGAAAAGCACUUGUUGGGCCUUUCGCUAAUGACCCACGGAGCUGUCUGGAAAGGGUGAAGUGAAAACCCUGCUUCUGGGUGAAGCAGCAGGACAUUGUGCUGUUUCGCCUCAGUCGGUGGUGCGACGAGG